rnacentral:rRNA from 1 species
AGCAUAUCAAUAAGCGGAGGAAAAGAAACUAACAAGGAUUCCCCUAGUAACGGCGAGUGAAGCGGGAAAAGCUCAAAUUUGUAAUCUGGCGCCUUCGGCGUCCGAGUUGUAAUCUCGAGAAGUAUUUUCCGCGCUGGACCGCACAUAAGUCUGUUGGAAUACAGCGUCAUAGUGGUGAGAACCCCGUAUAUGGUGCGGAUGCCCAGUGCUUUGUGAUAUACUUUCGAAGAGUCGAGUUGUUUGGGAAUGCAGCUCAAAUUGGGUGGUAAAUUCCAUCUAAAGCUAAAUAUUGGCGAGAGACCGAUAGCGAACAAGUACCGUGAGGGAAAGAUGAAAAGCACUUUGGAAAGAGAGUUAACAGUACGUGAAAUUGUUGGAAGGGAAACGCUUGAAGUCAGACUUGCAUUUUGGAGUUCAGCCGCAAGGUGUAUUCUUCAAUUCGCAGGCCAGCAUCAGUUUUCGGGGGUGGAAAAUCGCGGUUUGAAGGUAGCAGUCUCGGCUGUGUUAUAGCUUUCCGCUGGAUUCACUUUUGGGGACUGAGGAACGCAGUACGCUUUUUGCAAGAUUCUAGAGUCUUUCGUACUUANGAUGCUGGUGGAAUGGCUUUAAACGACCCGUCUU